UUUCUCUCAAGGAAGGCGAUCAGAAUUGAUUCUCAGAAGAUUGGUGAAGGAAAAAGCUUUGAAGGGUGAUCUCUCUGGGCCAGGCUAGUGGCCACUAUUUGGAAAACAAUGGCUCUCUUCUCCCCGGCAGUUUCCAAGAUGAGAUCGUUUCUCACACAUUCCAAAGAUCACGUCAGUGCGAGAUGCUUCAGGCUGUGGCUCAGUCCUAUUAGGCAUCUUUCAUUUGCAAGGCUUUUGCAGGACACAGCACAAUUUCCUGUUUAUCAUCACCCUGGAUCCACACAGGAGCCCUGUAGUGACGGGACAAGUAACAUCACCACGAUUUUAGAGUGGGGAAACUGAGUCUCAAAUAGGUGGAAAUGGAGACCCAAGAUGGUUCAACUGGCCCUCAAACCUAGUGUUCUGGCUCCACAUUCAGUGCUCUUUUCACUUUGAGGCAAUAAAUCCAGGAAAAUAGAACAAGAACUAAGGGAAUCCGUGUUGCUCAAGGUCAGUCUGUCUAUCUUACGAGCACAGGCAGAGAAGGCACAAUGACUGGUGAGUUCUUCUCGUUGCAGUCACAUCAUUGGCCUAGCUGGUUGUGACAGUGAUUAGAAACACAAAAACCAGCUCUGAGAAGAAAUGCUUAAUCUGAGUUCAAAGGGAUGUUGGCUCUGGAAAUUCCAAGAAAGGCAGGUCCUCUGCAGUGGGGAGCACACGAGGCGGGUGCUGGGGAGGCGAGGAGCAUGGGAAGCCUGGGAAGCAGUGAACACACCCUUCUAGCACUAUUCCAAGGCACUCGUCCUGAACCAUGCAAGGAAGCAUUGCUGACUCUGCUGACUGAGAGGAGAGAAUGGCAGAGCUGGAAAACACUCUAGAAAUCAGUUCCCUCAACCUCUUCAUAAAGGAAGAAACUGGGCUUCAACAGGUCGUGCACUCAUCUGAUGUCCUACAGCUUGACAAAGCCAGGACUGGAACCAUGUCCCCUAAUUCCAAAUGCACUGCUUCUUAGCAGAGACUAAUUCAGCAUUAACCAAAUUAGAGUUCCAUAGAAUUCUAGCACCCUGUGAGAUGUGAAUAGAUACUCCUAAAAAUAAGUAAAUAAAUAAGAUAUGGGUUUCCACAUUCAAAAAAGUUUGGGAAAUGCAGAGUUAAUCACAUUUGAGAAGCUUUGUUUACUGCACAAAUUCUCAGAACCUAGAACAUGGUAAUAUGCCCUGUGUAUUCCUAAGAACAGUUGUAGAUAGUGUAUGUGAUUUCUCCACAUUUGUUUACCAUGAAACAUUUUUUUGAGGAAAACGUAUUACCAUAUGUCACAUGAUAUUAAAUUUCCACAGAGUAUAGUUUGGGAAAGCCACCUAAUAUUGUGAGAUGUUCUCAAUGGACUUUCGAGAAUUAAUUUGAGUAAGGUUUUUUCUUUAAUGCUUGAAAAAGACAGAAAAAAGGAAAUUGUUUCAGCUUCUGGCAGGACAACUCUUCCACAAAAGAACUAGAUUCCAUAAAACAUAAUUUUAUUGAAUUUCCAGGCUCAUAGAAAGAAAGGAAACAGUUCAAGGGAGUUCCCAACCUCUAAAAAGAAACCAUGAACUAAAACUUGAGCACCGAUCCAUAUACACAUGUACACACACACUUAGACACGUGGGAGAAAGGAAGGCAGCGUUUUACAUAUGUUUGUAUAUAAAAUGAACAUAAGGAAAAAUACCUAUAUCAGGACUGCAAUCAGGAGACUAAGGCAACAAAGACAAGCUGAACCUGAAACUAAAUUAAACUGAAUUAAAUUAUGGUCUGGGUGAAGAUGCUAAAGCGAUCCCAGGUAGCAUAUCUUGGCAUCUUAGCAAAAGCAAAAACACAUCUUCUAAGGAGAUAAACAUCUUCAAUGUAAGUUACAAAGCUCGAAUCAGGAUCACCCAACAUAAAGAAAUAAAUGAUCAUGAGUGACUCAUCAAAGAAAAAAGAUUUAGGCCCCCAAGAAUUUUAAAUACAAUGUUUAUAAGAUAAAAUUGUUAAAUAGUUAUGUAAGUAAUAUUUUUUAGAAAACGUAAAAGAAUGGCCUUCUGCUUCCAGGGAGAUGGAGUAGACGUACUCGUCCCUAUUCUACUCAUUAAUUACAACUAAAACCCUGGCCAUUAUACAACACAAACAUAGGAAGACUGUGAAAAGUGGACAGAAGAAGGCGGACUACCCAGGAAACUCAGGACUUAAGGAGAGGUAGUUGAUAAGCCCCUGGGUUUUCUUUUUGCCUCAUAUAUCCCAGAUUUGGAGCCAAAGAAUCUGGCAACCCAGAGACACCAAUGCGUAUGGGGCCGUGGUGCGGGGAGCUCCAACAAAAGCCUGGUCUCUCUAGCAAAAGGCCAGUAAAGGGACAGCCUAGCAAGACAAAAAACUUUUGUACAAUAACUGCCCUCUAAAUGCAACUGGAAAAAUCAUGGCCCCCCACACCAGCAGAGGCCAAGUGGGGAACCUGGACUUCCACCGUUCCACUGCUAUUAGGAGACACCCAACGCCCCACUAGGGUAGUGUCAGAGAAGGCUAAGUGGGGAGCCAGGACUUUUAUCCCAGCUAGCCAGUAACAAUUUCUCCACCCAUGGUAUCAGUAGAAACCACGUGGGGUCCUAGACUUCAGUCCACACCCAGCAGUAACAAAAUGCCACUCUAACUUCCCACUGGGAUGGUGUCAGAAAAGGCCUAGUUGAGAGUCAAGAUUUUCACCAUCACCCAGUGGUAGUGAGGCCACCACCACUAUGGUGUCAGUGAAGAUCACGUGGCAAGUCAGAACUCCACUCACUCCCAGCAGUAAUGAGAAGCCCCAUGUGGUAUCAAAGGAAGCUGGGUGGAGAAUCCAGUUCUGCUUCCACCCGUCAUUGACAAGGCAGCAUCCUUCCCUUCCCUACUCAAAUAGAACAUCUAAGUAGGAUCCAAAAUCUUAUAAUACUAAAAUGUCCAGAUUUCCAUUGAAAAGUACUCAUCAUACCAGGCACCGGGAUCUCAAACUGAAAAUGGAAAAUGAAAAAUCAAUUGAUACAUGCCCACACUGAGAUGACAGAGAUGUUAGAAUUACCUGGAAAUUAUUUUAAAGCAGUCUUUAUAAAAAUGUUUCGAUGAACAAAUGCAAACACACUUUGAACAAAUGAAAGUCUAAUGAAUGAACAAAAAGAAAGUCUGGCAAGGAAGUAGAAGAUAUAAAGAAGAACCAACUGGGAAUUUUAAAUGAAAAAUUUAACAACAAAAAUAAAAAGCUCAGUGGAUGGGAUCAACAGCAGAAUGAAAGGAACAAAGGAAAGAAUCAGUGAACUGCGAAAUAGAACAAUAGAAAUUACCCAAUCUGAACAAGGGAGAAAUAGACUGAAAAACAAUGAAGAGAGCCUCAUGGACCUGUGGGACUUAACAGUAAAUCUACCAUUCAUAUCAUCAGAGUCUUGGAAUAGGAGGAGAAAGAGGGUAAGGCUGGAAAAGUAUUCGAAGAAAUAAUGAGUGAGGGGCCAGCCCCACGGCCUGAGUGGUUAAGUUCACGCACUCUGUUUAGGUGGCCCAGGGUUUUGCUGGCUCAGAUCCUGGGCACAGACAUGGCACUGCUCAUCAGGCCAUGCUGAG